CUUCACAAAACUUGAAACAUUUGCACAUUUCAAAAAUUUCAUAUUCUUCUUAGUCUCUAGCAGAUCUCCAAUUUCAUAGGCUCCAUAUUAGUAACGAUUAUUAUAGAUGGUGGUCCCAAAUUGUAUUUAGCUUUCAUAUUUCAUCCACUUUUUUCUUUGUCCAUAUUUCUCUUUGCACUUUCAAUUGCCAUGUUGCACACUCUUCUAAGCUCUAACCAUAAAUGCUACUCUCCAAUACUC
rnacentral:lncRNA from 1 species